AAAUCACUCAAGCUCAGGCUUUUUUCGCCUGCUGCUUGGUCUUGGAGGUGGAAGCCAACCAGUUGGAAUCCCCUUCGAAAUCCAAUGGCGAAGACCCUUGCUCUCCCAAGUGUAGUAAUAACUUAUGUCACUGAAGGAAGCGAGGAAUCUUCCGCCGCAACCCCCAUAUUUUUCUAU
rnacentral:misc_RNA from 1 species